rnacentral:piRNA from 1 species
UGGCAAAGUCAUGGUGUGUCCGCGCCCAUU